rnacentral:lncRNA from 1 species
AAAAUUUAUCUACUUAAAUCAGCAUUCAUUGUUUCAUUGUUUUAUCUGAAAUAAACAGACAAAGAAACUGCCAGUCUAGGAACACAUUAGGUAAAUGUUUAAGGGGUGUAUCAAUUCCUAACAUCUUAAGUGUUGAAGCUAAUCAAAAGUAUGCACUAACUCUUUAUUUCUGUAAAUAUUACAGAAUAAUUUCUAGUACAACAAAUAAUUUU